rnacentral:sRNA from 1 species
ACACUUGUAAUCUUCAUUUGGUGAAA